rnacentral:misc_RNA from 1 species
AAGUCGUAACAAGGUAUCCGUAGGUGAACCUGCGGAUGGAUCAUUAUCGUAUCCAAUACACAAUACCAACCAAAACGUGAACUGUUAACCUUUUAUAUGUAAAUUGCCAAUCGAUUCGCUUCGGCGUUUUGAUCGCUCUCUUGGAAUUGAAAGAGUGAGAUUCGAGUCAAAUCGAGUCGGCAGUUGAUAUGAAAGCGUAUUUUAUUUCAAUUCUAAUCAUCUAUUAACCAAUUGAACCAUAACUAAAACGUUAUUCUUUGUAUUGAUCUGAAUUGUUUCUUACUGCGUGCCUAAACCGUAUGUAGAAGAAAUCGAUUUACGAAAUAUAAGAACAACUCUUAGCAACGGAUAUCUUGGUUCUC